GAUGAACGCUGGCGGCGUGCCUAAUACAUGCAAGUAGAACGCUGAAGGAAGGAGCUUGCUCUUUCCGGAUGAGUUGCGAACGGGUGAGUAACGCGUAGGUAACCUGCCUGGUAGCGGGGGAUAACUAUUGGAAACGAUAGCUAAUACCGCAUAACAGUAGAUGUUGCAUGAUAUCUACUUAAAAGGUGCAAUUGCACCACUACCAGAUGGACCCGCGUUGUAUUAGCUAGUUGGUGAGGUAACGGCUCACCAAGGCGACGAUACAUAGCCGACCUGAGAGGGUGAUCGGCCACACUGGGACUGAGACACGGCCCAGACUCCUACGGGAGGCAGCAGUAGGGAAUCUUCGGCAAUGGACGGAAGUCUGACCGAGCAACGCCGCGUGAGUGAAGAAGGUUUUCGGAUCGUAAAGCUCUGUUGUAAGAGAAGAACGAGUGUGAGAGUGGAAAGUUCACACUGUGACGGUAUCUUAACAGAAAGGGACGGCUAACUACGUG
rnacentral:rRNA from 1 species